GGUCGCGGAGGAGUCUGGGACUAAAGGAAAAAUAACUCAACACCCGCCUCCCUCAUUCUCGGGAGAGAAUGGAGGGGGAGGGGUUGAGGAUGGCGCCCAAGGGGGAUGAAGAGGGGAAGCCCCCAGGAAGCAGUGGAUGCCGGGGGCGGGAGACUGGCAGCUCCCCCCGGCUCUGCCUGUCACGAGUGUGUCGCCGGCCCCCGUGCGCCCGGGCUCCUUUCCUGCGGGAGGAGGAAGAGGAGAGUGACCUAGAUCGCCCCGAGAGACCAUGAAGCCGUCAGAAAGCUCAAUAAUGUGUCCCUAACUGACGUGGUACCCAGGCGUGGGCCACCAUAGAAGAUAGAGCACGGCUUGGAUUCUGCAUCUGAUGAAGCUCAGAAGAGCCAUUUGCCGCUUAUCGUCGGAAAGAGAAUUGGGAAUUCUGAGUUCAGUUUAUCUUGCCUCUCACCCCUUCCCCCCUUUCCUCCUCUUCUACAAAACUUGGGAAUGUUGGAAAUGUUAUGUAUUCUUCAAAUCGCAGGCAUCCCAACACCCCAGCUCCAGUAUUUUAAAAUUUAUACUUCUUUCUUGCCUCGGUGGAGCUUAUCUGAAUGCAUUUUUCUAGCUUCAGUGAAAGUUAUCUGUUGUUUGUCACGGCCGCCCUAGAUUGGCCCCUUUCUGCUUUAUAGCGUGCCAGUCUUUACAGUGCUGAAGGCCAGGGACAAGUUGGAGCUGUGGAUCUGUUGCGCAAUUGUUAUUUUCCCCAGGGCUGCUUUGUCUUUGGAUUAAGUUUUUCAUAUUGUAAUUCUAAUACCUGUAAGGCAGAAUAUGCUAACUUUUGUUCUGGCAAGGGAUGCAAGUGUAGAAUCGAAUUUUUUUUUUUAUAAAAUGAGGUUUGUGUUUAAACAUUAAAAAUUCUACUCAAAACUA